rnacentral:tRNA from 1 species
AGCGCGCUGGACUUCUAAUCCAGAGGUCGCGGGUUCGAAUCCCGC